rnacentral:lncRNA from 1 species
GUAAUUGCCUCUAUACUGCUACGUUCCUGUCGAACCAGAAUUUAUGUAAUUGAAAUUCUAGUUGUACUGCUGUAGUGGCUGCCAAUCAACACGCUCUUCUGCCCUUUUUGCCAUCUCAAUAGCAGUUGCCAAGGUCAAAAUUGCAACUACUCUCAUCAUACAAUGAAUUUCGUGAUUCAGGCCCCUCUGAUAAUGAGCAACCUGCUGGGCUUCGUUCUUAUAGUUUUCACACCUCGCCUGCAACCUCAAAAAUUCCUCGAUAUAUUCAUCCAC